rnacentral:rRNA from 1 species
UACGUAGGAUGCGAGCGUUGUCCGGAAUCACUGGGCGUAAAGGGUGCGUAGGCGGAUCGUUAAGUCGGGGGUGAAAUCCUGAGGCUCAACCUCAGAACUGCCUUCGAUACUGGCGAUCUUAGAGUCCGGGAGAGGUGAGUGGAACUCCUAGUGUAGAGGUGAAAUUCGUAGAUAUUAGGAAGAACACCAGUGGCGAAGGCGGCUCACUGGCCCGGUACUGACGCUGAUAGUGCGAAACGUGGGAGCAAACAGGG